rnacentral:rRNA from 1 species
UAAUACGUAGGGGGCAAGCGUUGUCCGGAUUUACUGGGCGUAAAGAGCGCGUAGGCGGAAGCUUAAGUGUGGCCUGAAAGCCCCCGGCUCAACCGGGGAAGGUGGCUGCAAACUGGGCUUCUUGAGGGGGAGAGGGGAAAGUGGAAUUCCGGGUGUAGCGGUGAAAUGCGUAGAGAUCCGGAGGAACACCAGUGGCGAAGGCGGCUUUCUGGCUCCGCCCUGACGCUGAGGCGCGGAAGCGUGGGGAGCGAACGG